CCGCAUUGCAUUCUGGUCUCUUGAGGCUACUGUCAGAAGAGCAAUUGGUAUGUCUGCCUCUUCUAUGAUGGAUCUCUCCAUGUAUGACUGUUGAACAUUAGUGCAAAAUGGUAGGUCUAGACAGAAGAUCUUGCUCUUUGAUUGUGAAAGACUGAAAUGAAA